UAUAUUGCAUCAUUUAUUUAUGCAGACUAACUCACUCCAUGCCAUGUGUGGCAUCACUGUGUAUCAUAUAUUUGAACAAUAGCCACACUAGUUCUAUAAGACCGGUUAUUAUUGUACCACCAAAGUACUUUUGUAAAUCUUGCUAAUUGAAGGAUUGAUAUAUCUGAUGAAAGAAAUCUUACUUUAGGACUGAAUUCAAUUGAGUCUUGCUUUUAUUUUUCUUGGGGUAUUGACUAAGUAGUCAAAAGGGAGAUGUUUUGAAGUAUUGAAAAUGAACUUUAUAAUCAAAAGUUGUCAGAUGCAUUUAUAAUCAAAUGUUAAUAUAUAAAAGGAAAUGUCUGUUAUCGUUAAAAAAAUAGGGUAGUUGAAAUUAGCAUAGCAGAUAAAUAAAAGAAAGAGAUGAAUAAUUUUGGUUAGAAGGAAAGAAGAGAAAGAGAAAAAGUUGAAGGAUUGGAAUUUAUGAUGAUUGGUGGAAAGGAAUACAGAGAAGUUAUCUUAGGGUUGUGAAGUUAAUAAUGAGUG
rnacentral:lncRNA from 1 species